rnacentral:rRNA from 1 species
CCCAGACUCCUACGGGAGGCAGCAGUGGGGGAUAUUGCACAAUGGGGGGAACCCUGAUGCAGCGACGCCGCGUGGGUGAAGGAGCGUUUCGGCGCGUAAAGCCCUAUCGGCAGGGAAGAAGGAGGACGGUACCUGACUAAGAAGCCCCGGCUAACUACAUGCCAGCAGCCGCGGUAAUACGUAGGGGGCAAGCGUUAUCCGGAUUUACUGGGUGUAAAGGGGGCGCAGACGGCAGCGCAAGCCAGGAGUGAAAGCCCGGGGCCCAACCCCGGGACUGCUCUGGAAACUGCGGCGCUGGAGUACGGGAGGGGCAGGCGGAAUUCCUGGUGUAGCGGUGAAAUGCGUAGAUAUCAGGAGGAACACCGGUGGCGAAGGCGGCCUGCUGGACUGCAACUGACGUUGAGGCCCGAAAGCGUGGGGAGCAAACAGGAUUAGAUACCCCCGUAGAG